GAUGAACGCUAGCGGGAGGCCUAACACAUGCAAGUCGAACGGGAUUGAGAGCUUGCUCUCAUGAGAGUGGCGCACGGGUGAGUAACGCGUAUGCAACCUGCCUGUAACAGGGGGAUAGCCCAUAGAAAUGUGGAUUAAUACCCAAUAGUCCUGGAGAGUCGCAUGGCUUUUCAGGUAAAACUCCGGUGGUUACAGAUGGGCAUGCGUGACAUUAGUUAGUGGGUGAGGUAACGGCUCACCGAGGCAACGAUGUCUAGGGGUUCUGAGAGGAUGAUCCCCCACACUGGUACUGAGACACGGACCAGACUCCUACGGGAGGCAGCAGUGAGGAAUAUUGGUCAAUGGGCGCAAGCCUGAACCAGCCAUCCCGCGUGCAGGAUGACGGCCCUAUGGGUUGUAAACUGCUUUUGUACAGGAAGAAAAAUCCCUACGUGUAGGGACCUGCCGGUACUGUACGAAUAAGCAUCGGCUAACUCCGUGCCAGCCGCCGCCGUAAGAC
rnacentral:rRNA from 1 species